AUUGAACGCUGGCGGCAUGCUUUACACAUGCAAGUCGAACGGUAACAGGCCUUCGGGUGCUGACGAGUGGCGAACGGGUGAGUAAUGCAUCGGAACGUGCCCAGAGGUGGGGGAUAACGCAGUGAAAGCUGUGCUAAUACCGCAUGUGAUCUGAGGAUGAAAGCGGGGGACCAGGCAGCAAUGUUUGGCCUCGCGCCUUUGGAGCGGCCGAUGUCAGAUUAGGUAGUUGGUGGGGUAAAGGCCUACCAAGCCGACGAUCUGUAGCUGGUCUGAGAGGACGACCAGCCACACUGGGACUGAGACACGGCCCAGACUCCUACGGGAGGCAGCAGUGGGGAAUUUUGGACAAUGGGCGCAAGCCUGAUCCAGCAAUGCCGCGUGCGGGAAGAAGGCCUUCGGGUUGUAAACCGCUUUUGUACGGAACGAAAAGGCUCUGGCUAAUACCUGGGGCUGAUGACGGUACCGUAAGAAUAAGCACCGGCUAACUACGUG
rnacentral:rRNA from 1 species